GAUAAUUCCCGUUGAUCCUGCGGGAGAGGACUGCUAGUGGGGUCCGACUAAGACAUGCAAGUCUACUGGGGAGAUUACAUCAAACCGGUGGCGCAAGGCUGCGUAACACGUCGAGAACCUACCCUAAGGAAGGGCAUAACCUCGCGAAAGUGAGGCUAAUUCCCUAUAGGAGAUAGAACUUGGAAAAGCCUAUCUCUGAAAUCCUUCGGGGCCUUAGGAUGGCUCGGCGGCGGAUUAGGCUGUUGGUGGUGUAAUGGACCACCAAACCUGAGAUCCGUAGGGGCCAUGAGAGUGGGAGCCCCCAGAGGCACACUGAGAAAAGGGUGCCAGCCCUACGGGGUGCAGCAGUCGCGAAACCUUCGCAAUGCGCGAAAGCGUGACGAGGGGACCCCACGUGCUAACUCUUUGAGUUAGCUUUUGUCGUGUUUUAAAAGCACGGCGAAUAAGUGAGUGGGCAAGACCGGUGCCAGCCGCCGCGGUAAUCCCGGCGCCACAAGUGGUCCUCACGUUUAUUGGGUCUAAAGCAUCCGUAGCCGGUCUGUAAAGUUUUCUGUGAAAUCCGGCAGCUUAACUGUCGGGUGGGCAGGAAAUACUUACAGGCUAGAGAGCGGGAGAAGUGGAGGGAAUGCCCUGGGGAGCGGUAAAAUGUUUUAAUCCAGGGUGGACCACCAAUGGCGAAGGCACUCCACUAGAACGCGUCUGACGGUGAGGGAUGAAAGCUAGGGGAGCAAAAGGGAUUAGAUACCCCUGUAGUCCUAGCCGUAAACGCUGCCCGUUUGCUAUUGCAGUGCUGUAUAAGCAUUGCAGUGGCGUAGCGAAGGCGUUGAACGGGCCACCUGGGGAGUACGGCCGCAAGACUGAAACUUAAAGGAAUAGGCGGGGGAACACACAAGGGGUGUAUGCUGCGGCUCAAUUGGAUUCAACGCCCGGAACCUUACCAGCAGCGACUGCAGAAUGAAGGUCCUCCUGAAUGGGGCACUCGACACGCAGAGAGGUGGUGCAUGGCCGUCGUCAGCUCGUGCCGUGAGGUGUUCUGUUAAGUCAGAGAACGAGCGAGACCUGCGUCCUUAAUUGCUAACCUUUUCUUGCGAAAGCUUGAAAAGGUGCACAAUAAGGAGACUGCUGGCGUAAGCCAGAGGAAGGUGCAGGCGACGAUAGGUCUGUAUGCCCCGAAUCUGCUGGGCUGCACGCGGCAUCCAUUGGUUGAGAGAACGAGCUGCAACCCCGAAAGGGGAAGCUAAUCUCUUAAUCUCAACCAUGUUCGGAUCGAGGGCUGCAACUCGCCCUCGUGAAGGCGAAAUCCCUAGUACACGUGUUUUAGCAUAGCACGUGGAAUACGUCCCUGUUCCUUGCACUCACUGCCUGUCAACUCAACCGAAUCGGGUCAAGGUGAGGACUUUGCUGAAAAGUUCGAACUUUGGCUCGGUGAGGCGGGGUAAGUCAACACAAGGUAUCUGUAGGGGAACCUGCAGAUGGAUCACCUCCUAA
rnacentral:rRNA from 1 species